AAGCGGCGGUAGUGCCGGUGGCGCCACAUGUAAUUGUACUCAUAGCUGUACAUGGCUUGGCUGUACUUCAAAUGCGUCUUCGCGCUUUUUUUCCCGAUUAUGAAACCAUCCGCGGUGGUAAUGGUGGUUAGUUCGUACUCACUUGCUGAAGUGGUAUUGGUUUUCGAGUGGAAAACUUUGGAUCGUUUUUGCAAUAACAGCAGGAACAACACUGCGUGGUUUCGGUUCGUGGCAUAAAUGAGCUCGUCUGGAUGGGAAUGAACUUGGCACAAGAAAGACACUGGCUACAGUCUAAGCGAAGAUUUUACUGUGGUUGUUGCACUGCUUUUGUAGUGACAUGUAAAAUAAGAAUUCAACCUUCCAGGAUCGUAAACAUGGACAUCAAAAAGGCAUGGCACCAUCAUAUUGCCCAACAGAACAGCUGUCAACUCCAGGGCUUGCCUGCUAGAAGUGCAUGUUGAAAAUGGACUGCGGUACUAAGGAACGCAGGAGUAGAAAAGGAUGAAGAAGGAUUGGAACUAGCCCUUGCUUAUGGGAGAUGAGCUACGUCAGCUAGACAAAGAUCCUCACUGCGACUGGUGCUUUACACAACGAACUCAAGGACGAUGCAGACUACAACGAGAAAAUCCUGGAUGCGAUCUCGGGUGCCCUGUUUGUCUUGGAGCAACGCUCACAAUCCUCCGACAGUCCAGGAACCUUGCAGCAGCCAUUCAGAGUAGCAGCAGGCAGGCUAUUGCGUCGCAUGGCCAGGUUUCACCCACCAGGCCAGUGCCACCUGCUCCCUUGACAGCCAAAAGCAGCAAUAAGAUUGGUUGCUGCACUGCCUGACCACACUUGUCAAGCCGACUGUGCAAGCCAAAGUUCACUGUUCAUUAGCCAAGUGGCCACAUUGCUCUGCCAUGCAAAAUGCCUUGCUCGGAGAAUGCGCUCACCACCGAAGAGGAACCUGAAUGUAAGCGUCAAUGCGCUGAAGCUGCUCACUGACGCUAUGCGGAUAAGACGACUGAAGCCCGCUCUACCAGCCUACAGCAAAUGCAGGAUGCUCAGUGUGAACGUCGAGCAACUGACACAGACAUGGAAAGGGCUGCCCAUUUGGAGAAACCGAAAGCUGUCGACCAUCAACACUGUACUGCCAAAAUGGUUGAGCAUCGGAGUGUCCAGGCUGUCCAAGCUGCUAUUCGUAUACUUGGAUUAUCAUCAUAGAUGAGUUCUGCCCGAAUUUUUUUCACUUGUGCUUUUCUGUCAUUGGUAAGGCUCAUAUACCAAAGGAAAUCCUAUGUGCAAUUUUGUGUUAAAUGAAUUCUAACGGGUUAAGCACCAGGUUAUUAGUACUAACAUAUCCAGAACUCAAGGCAUACAGAGUGUACUUACCUGAUGAGCCCUAAAUGAAACAUGCAUGCUGAAGUUGUCCGCUUAAUGCGGGAAUUGAUGCGAAGCAAUGGGUGACGUGACCUGUCACAUGUGGCAUGUACUACAGUACACGAGCAGCAACCGACAACCUGACUACACUGUCCAGAACUAGUAAGUAAGUUCUAUUUCCCUUUUAAGUUCCUAUUCCAUUUUAGAAUAGGGCAGGCGCUCGAAGCACCGCAGGAAAAAGAGUCAUUGGUUGUGGUUCUAUAGUUGUGGCUUCAUAGUUGUGGGGUACGGUAGUACACUCACGUUCACCGAUUCACUGCCUAACCCUUUCCACAUCUUUGCUCAGAGACACAGUUAGCUCCACAUUUGAGAAUCUGGAAACGCAAGAAUGUGUUCACCUCUGAGCCAACCGAAUUUUUUUUUUUUUGUUCGCCAGUUGGCAUCACAUUAAUAUAAACUCUGUACUGGCAAAGUAGCAGCUUUCGCUUUCGUUUCCCUAGAAAUGCAAAAACAUCAAUUCAAGUGGCUUAUCACUGAAUCAGCAGGAAAUGUUAAAAAUCAGCAGAUCUGCUGAUAAAUCAGCAGCUGUGGCACCACUGGCAUGGACCAGACGAGUAACUGUAGAGGUUGUGCCAGUUGCUUGGAACACCUGCUCAGGAGACCAAUCACGAAGCGCGCUGGAGCCCUGUUGUGGGGCACGGCCAAUCGGACACUUUGGAACGACCUUCAAACAUGUGCUUUUUGUGUGCUUGUUUCUAUGCGGAGGAGAGAGCAGAAGCAGCAUAUUUGAAAAUGGAGAAACACGCCUUCUCAUGACAACAAUAUGGUUGCACUGAGUUGCGUUGUUGCGGUGAUAUCGUGGCUUGAAAAAUGCAGUUAUUCUUGCGAUUUACAUUAAAUGUUUUGCCGCCUUGGCUGAUACAAUAAAUUUUUUAGACUGCUUC